UACGUAGGGCGCAAGCGUUGUCCGGAAUUAUUGGGCGUAAAGAGCUCGUAGGCGGCUUGUCACGUCGGGUGUGAAAGCCCGGGGCUUAACCCCGGGUCUGCAUUCGAUACGGGCUAGCUAGAGUGCGGUAGGGGAGAUCGGAAUUCCUGGUGUAGCGGUGAAAUGCGCAGAUAUCAGGAGGAACACCGGUGGCGAAGGCGGAUCUCUGGGCCGUGACUGACGCUGAGGAGCGAAAGCGUGGGGAGCAAACAGG
rnacentral:rRNA from 1 species